CCGUCCCGCGGCCCGCGGUGACCGGGCGUCCGCGGCGGCGGCUGAAGCCUUGGCGCAGGGGGAGAGCCGGCGGCGUUAGCGUGAAACUUCAUGAGGCGGCAUCUGGCUAACUGGGGGACGUGGGCAGCGAUCACAGAGGAAGCAGCACAGGUCAAGUGUUCCAAGCUGGGAACAAGAAACAUUUUGAAUGGCCUGGCACACUCAUGGGGAGCUGCCUGAGGAGCGUGUGUGUAUGCUGCCCUCCUAAAGGUUUACUGGAAACUCGUGGGCACAGAUAGCCCCUGGACUGGGAAGAAAGUACACAGCUAAAACUGUUGAUGAAGAGGCCAGAACCAGUCAUGCUACUUGUGAGAAGAUGUUCGUAAUCUCCAUUAACUACAAAGGAGUCUAGACAACCAGCUUAGUCAGAGAUGGCUCCUCUGUUUAACGUUGGCUUGAGCCUUCGAUAUUGUAUUGAUGCCAUCCUCAAGACAUCCAGUGCUUUGUCUCCACGGGGAUAGCUGUGGUCUGAGGUUACAAGCUGGUGUGUUUUGAGUACACGUCACUAUGGACCACAUGAGUAUCCCACUCUUGGUAAAAAGAGUUUGAGCACCAAGAAACUGAGGGAGCACGAGGGCACCAAGGAAGUCGGAUGAUCAGGAAGGCACAGUUACACCUGAAUCUCUCAUGGCUGCGGCAUCAGCAGUGUUGACUGUUAUUGUUAAACGCUCAGAUACUGCACUGGAGUGUCAGAGGGCCCGGAUUCUCCGCAGUGUGAUUGCCCACGUCUAAGACAUCCUGAAGUGAUUAACGGGCUUUCGGGCCUGCCCGCUGGGACGCCCUAACGGCCGAGGGCGCGGGCGGGGAAGCGGGGCCGCCCCGAGGGCGCUGGUCACGGCACCAAGCAUGCCCGCCCGCCGGGGCAGCGGCCACGGGCAAGGGGGCAGGGAGCGCCGGG